GGAGUCCUACGGGAGGCAGCAGUGGGGAAUAUUGCACAAUGGGGGAAACCCUGAUGCAGCAACGCCGCGUGAGUGAAGAAGUAUUUCGGUAUGUAAAGCUCUAUCAGCAGGGAAGAAAACGACGGUACCUGAGUAAGAAGCCCCGGCUAACUACGUGCCAGCAGCCGCGGUAAUACGUAGGGGGCAAGCGUUAUCCGGAUUUACUGGGUGUAAAGGGAGCGUAGACGGCGAUGCAAGUCUGAAGUGAAAGCCCGGGGCUCAACCCCGGGACUGCUUUGGAAACUUUUUUGCUGGAGUACCGGAGG
rnacentral:rRNA from 1 species